GAUGAACGCUGGCGGCGCGCCUAACACAUGCAAGUCGAACGAUUAAAGCACCUUCGGGUGUGUAUAAAGUGGCGAACGGCUGGGUAACACGUGGGCAACCUGCCCCUCUCAUUGGGAUAGCCACGGGAAACCGUGGAUAAUACCGAAUACUUCGGGACUUCCGCAUGGAAGACUCGAGAAAGCUCCGGCGGAGAGGGAUGGGCCCGCGGCCUGUUAGCUUGUUGGUGGGGUAAUGGCCUACCAAGGCAAUGAUGGGUAGCUGGGUUGAGAGACCGACCAGCCAGAUUGGGACUGAGACACGGCCCAGACUCCUACGGGAGGCAGCAGUGGGGAAUCUUGCACAAUGGGCGAAAGCCUGAUGCAGCGACGCCGCGUGCGGGAUGAAGGCCUUCGGGUUGUAAACCGCUUUCAGCAGGGACGAGGCGAAAGUGACGGUACCUGCAGAAGAAGCCCCGGCUAACUACGUG
rnacentral:rRNA from 1 species